UGGCUGGCCGCUGCUUCCUGCCAGCCGCGGGACAAGCCCACCAGGCUGGAAGGCAGCUUGCAGUCUGUGACAUCACUGUGACUCAGCACUCUGUGGCAGAUGAGAAUUUAUUCAAGGCUCAACAUUAAAUAAGGAGUUUUCAGGCAAGUCUGGAGGACAAGCUGAGCCAACUUAGGAUGAGAAACUAAAAAGCAAAAGGGGAAAUCCAGGGCUGAGAAAUUCCUAGAAACGAAAUCAUAACCUUGGACAGGAGGAGAAGGUGACUUGAGCUACUAAGCAGGGAUGACCUCAGACCUGCGGCAGCUCAUGGGCCUGCAAGCACACAGGAACCCGACCACCUGUCUGUGUCCCCUGUGUGCCUUCUGACCUCCUCUGCAGGCUCUGGUACCUCCAUCUAUGAGGGACAGCGGCAAGCCCCCAACAGACAUGGCAGCCCAGGUAUCUGAUUCAGAGCACUCAUGAAUCUUGGACUACGUUCAGCUAUAAUCAUGGGUGAUUCUCCAAGCGAAGGGGCUAAACACUGGCAAACGAAAAGCAGAUUUGUCCACUGCAUUCCUACCCUAAUGGAUGCUGAGAUAAUGGAUGCUCUACAAUCACCCACAAAUUUCCUGGUACUGCUGCUGUUACUGCAAAAUGAUGGCUCCUUCAAAGUAUCAUCUCUUGCCCCUGCCAGAGAAAGCCAGCCUUUAAAAGAAACUAAAUCCAAGGUCACUCACUUCCACAUAAAGAGAAUAUUUUGUCAGCUGCCAAAAUUCAUUUAUCUAAUGUACUCUUACCCAAUAACUUAAGCCUGGUGUCCUGGGCAGAGUCCAACUUGGGUAAUUCCAUUCUCCCAACCAAAUUCCCCCAAGGAGUUUGAACGAGAGAGGACAUUAUUCUUCACUUCUUCAACUCUCCUAUUAUUAAUCAAAAGAAUGCUUUUCAUCCCCAAAGCAUGAUGGGGAUAUGAGGAUAGAAUUUUUAAAAAGGGAUUAUUCUUAAGAAUUUAGUAAUGAGAGAUUCCAUUAUAUAAACUUAGUAAAGUUCUUUGGAAGUAGAGUCUAGAUCCAUUUGUGAAACAAAUAGUUAUUAGAGUAUAUGCCAAGUACUGUUCUCAACACUGCAGAUGGAGCAGGACACAGAAGUAGUUUCUGCUUUCAAGAGGUAGCAAUUAGAAUAAGUUGAUGAGUUUGGAGAGAGGGCCAGAAAUCAGACCAUUUAAGUACUGAUAUGGAGUUUGGAUAUUAUUGUAGGCGCAGCUGGAGAGUAUUGGUGGAGCAAUAAGAUUGAUCAGAUUUGAGGUCUUUUUAAUAAGACUAUCCCUUCAUGGAUAUCUAUGGGCCAGGGUCCUAGCCUUCUGCUACUUUCCACGGAAUUGAAUCAUUUCAGGAUCAACACAACUGUGGCUGUAAUUUCCUCCCCACAAGCCUUCAAACAGCAUUGAAUCUUGGUUAUCUCAGAGCGCCAAGGAGGCCAAAGCCAUGGUUUGGCCAUACAGCCAUCAGCAUGGCACUGCUCCAUGACAAACUGUACCCCUUCUUCCUCUGUAGCUGGCUGUACUUCAUAGGCUCCCUUUGGUCUCAUAGGACACCAGACAAGAAGGUAAAUGAGGAAGAAUUAGUUCAUCUCCACUGCUCCAAGAGCUGCCUAUGACCUGCUGAAGGUAGUUCAGUGGCAAUAUCAAAGAGCGGAAGCAUCUCUACAUAUAUGUGACCUAUUGAAUGGUGGUGUUCUUGGAAAGAGCAUUACCACUGACAAAGAACCACUGAAAACUUUCUAUUUAUUGCCCAUCCUGUGAGCAGUGACAAAUAUAAAUAAGAAAAUCAUAACAUCUGAAAAUAAAAGGGGACAUUAGUGGUCAUGAAGUCCAACCUCUCUCCUAAUGUAAGAUUCUUCUAUGCAGACCUGACAAGGAGUCUUCCAGUGUUCUAUACCCUUCCUAUGUCAGAUGGGGUCAGAUGAAUAGCAAUUUAAUUGCGUGUUGUUUUGUUGGUGAGGAAAGAUCAUUAACUGUGGUACCUUUUGCCCAAAGCUGUGGUCUGAAGGGUCAAAGGACAGAUAGAGAAAGUCACAUCUGAAUGAGAAGUUAAGGUUAAGACCUGGAAAAAGAGGACCAAAUAAGUUUUCCAGUCUCAAGUUCAAGAGGGAGAAUAAAGAAUAUGGAACCAAACAAGAAGAUACCCAGGAUGCUAAUGAAUGAGAAAUGUGGAGCAGGUGGAUUAGAGAAACUUUCUGAAUGGUAUCUUAAGAGUUUUGAGACCAUAUCAGAAGCAGCCAAGAGGUCCUUCAUCAAAAAUUUUGGACUCUCUGAUGAGAAUCUACUCCCUUUCUACUAUUCCUCAAUGAAUUCUCCCACUUAGUGUUAUGCGUUGAAUUAUGUCCCCCCAAAAAAGAUAUGUUGAAGCCCUAAUCCCCAGUACCUCAGGAUGUAACCUUUUUUGGAAAUAGGGUGUUUAUAGAGGUAAUCAAGUUAAAAGGAGAUCAUAAUCCAAUAAUAAUGAUAUCUUCAUCUCCAAUGAAGAGGAGAAAUUUAGACACAGAAAUAGACACCCCAUGGGAAUAAUGCCAUAUGAACAUGAAAGCAGAGAUGGGGUGAUGCAUCUGCAAACCAAUGAACACCAAAGAUUGGGAGCAAACUCCCAGAAGCUAAGAGAGAGGCAUGGAACAAAUUCUUCCUCCCAGACUUCAGAGGGAACCUAUCCUGCUGACAUCUUGACCUUGGACCUCUAGACUCUGGAACUCUGCUGUGGUUGGGAAGAGGAAGAGAUCUUCAGGCUCAAGAGGCAGAAAGGGCAUGAUGGUUUCAAGAGCAAGAAGCUGGAGGGGUGGGUAAGAAGUGAAGGUUUUCCAGCCCCAUCCUGUCCCACAGGAGAAUCUUCCCUAGAAGAGAGCCCUCAGGCCCUGGGUAUGCUCUCACGUAGUUCCUGGAGGGAACUACUGAGGGACAUGGAACCCAAUGACCACAUCAGUUGCCAUUUGCAUGUAGAAGGAACCAUCCCAAUGUAACAUGGCAGAAGACAUCAGAGGGUGGCAAGAGGGGAGCCUGAGGACAAGGCAACAUGACUAAGUGCGAACACAGCACGAAGCCGGGCUCCUCUGAGCAGCUGGAAAGAGGGCUCUCACCUCAUCUCUGGGAAGAGACGGAGGCCAGCCUGACAAAGAGAACGAGAAAACUGCCAGGGGAAGGUGAGAUACCUUUUAUAUUCAUCCAGAAUUGCUGACCAUAUCAAAAUUCAAAAGAACUUCCAGAGGAUCACAGGAUCAAUCUCUGUAUAACCAGCCUCUGAAACUCCAGGAUUCUCAUGAGCCCUUCUCUACUGGCAAAAACACUAGCUAACACUCACUGAGCAUUUACGAUGUGCCAGACACCAUUCUAAAUACAUUUGUGUAUAAAUGCAUAGAGUCAUUUAUUCAUUCAGCAAAUAUUUAUUGAGUGACCACCAUUGUCAGACACUGUCCUG